UUUAAUUAAAAAUAAUUCAUCUACUCUUGAUGGUCAGUUUUCACUAACAUAUUAGUUUUAUAUUAGCAGUGUAUUGAAUUUAAUUGUAACUUGCAAAAAUGUUAGAGGAAAAGGACUGCUUGUAAGCAUCUGAGUUUCAAUGACAAGAUUGUUUAGGAGAGUAUUAUGAGGAUCGUCGGCUACGUUUGUGAUAGCUCUUUGAACAAACAGUUAGACAAGAUUGAACAGAUAGCUGGGCGAUGUUCGCUUGUAAAUCAUCUUGUGUAUGCGUACAAACUGAAUACAAAGCUGUCAGUUCUGAAAAGCGCCCCAGCAACAGAUGAGGAAAUACUAUCCUUCCAUUCCACUGAUUUCAUUCAACGUUUGAAAGAUGCAAAUGAUGUUACUGAUAUUGAGAAAUAUGAAGAUAGCCUCGAGGAGUACGGCCUUGGCUAUGAUUGCCCACUAUUCCUUGGAAUUUAUGAUUUCGUUAGAGCUAUCGUUGGUAGUUCUAUAGUAGCUGCUCGUUCUCUUAUUUCUGGUUCAAACAAUAUUGCUAUUAAUUGGUAUGGAGGCUGGCAUCAUGCUCAAAGGGAGGAAGCCAAAGGAUUUUGCUAUGCAAAUGAUAUUGUGUGUGCCAUCAACACCCUCAGACAGCACUUUACGAGAGUACUCUACAUUGAUUUAGAUAUUCAUCAUGGUGAUGGUGUUGAAAAUGCCUUUGCAUUCUCAAGAAAUGUUCUCACAUUUUCUUUACAUAAAUACGAAGCAGGCUUUUACCCUGGAUCAGGUGCAAUCACAGAUGUUGGUAGAGGAAACGGAAGGUUUUACUCUGUCAAUGUACCUCUCCACGAUGGGAUUAGGGAUGAACCGUACUUCAAAAUAUUUGACAGAGUAUCUUCAAGUAUACACACAGCUUUUCAGCCAGACGCCAUAGUUGUUCAGUGUGGAUGUGACAGUUUAUGUGGCGAUCCGCUUGGCACUUUCAAUCUUACUCUGAAAGGCAUGGGGCAAUGUGUGAGAAGAAUAUUGUCCUGGGAGAAACCCACUCUUUUUCUUGGUGGAGGUGGUUACAAUAUUACAAAUGCAGCAAGAUGUUGGACAUACAUAACAUCUUUAAUUUUAAACUGCAACCUUUCUUCUGAAAUUCCUGACAAUCAUUUCUUUGAAAAGUAUGGACCUGGUUUUGAACUCGACAUAAUGCAAGGCAACAGACCAGAUCAUAAUACUGAACAGUAUAUUGAAAGCUGUAUUAAAACUAUCACAGGUAAGAUUCAAAAUAUUUUGACAACUGACAUUAGUUUCUAAUGUACAUUGCUGAAGCAGUAAUAAAAUUAUUGCAGGUAACAUAGCCAAUAUUAGAAAGCCAUGUUGGACCUAACUUAACUGCAGCUAUAUGAAACUUUCUACAUUCGACUAAGGAGCAGCGUGUGUUAGCGGCACGAGGCCGUGCAAUGGCCACACCGAUGGACACCGAUCACCGUAUCGAAUAGUACCACGACGGGACGCAUUUCUGGACGAGUGGAGGAUGACAAAGAGUGAGGGUGGGGGCAGGUCUCGCGGCUCUCGCUCAGGUGGGAAGGACACCCUUCGGCCUCUCGGCCCUCUUGGAGCGGUAUAAAAGAUGGGGCUGCAGGGUUGAAUGGACACAGACCCGGCCCAGCUCUCCUCGGCAGCUGCUCCUCCUCGCCAAGUCUUCACAGGAGCCGACAUGAAUCCCUUCCUCGCCCUCUUUCCGCUGUGCUUCCUGCUGCUGGCGGUGGAGUCCCAGAGGCAGGACAGUCCUGGUGCGGUCCAGGCACCUGCCCGAACGGCCGAGCCAGAGCGGGCGAACAAGAAGGACAAGCGAGGCCUGUUCGGCGCCGUGGUCGGCUACGAGCCCUAUGCGCCCCACGCGGCGCUGCCCGCGGUGCCCGUCGCCUACGGAGCCGUGGACGCCUACGGAGCGUACGGCACGUACGGCACGUCCCCCUACGCGUACGGACCCUACAAGACUGCGGUGGCUGCGCCGUAUGCAACGCCCAUCGGCAAGGUGGCCUAUGCUCCGUUUGCGGUGCCUGCAUACGGUGCCUACGCAGACGGCGCCUACCCCAAACAGGUCGCCGGAUACGCUCCAGCCACGUACGGCGCUCCAUACGCCCCGUACGGCUACGUUGCAGAGGCCUACCCUGCUCAGUAUGGGGUGCCUUACGGCGCGGUGCCUGCUGCUCACGGGGCCUACGCUUAUUGAGCAGAGUCCGGAGGAAUGCAGACCAGCUGAUUGAGACAUCCCGAAGGCCUGUUCGUCUGUCUGCACCGUCUUUGUUUUUAAUUUUAAUGUUGAAUUAUUUAUUUAUUUCGAUGCGAUUUGGGUGAGGAAGAAUAAACCCGACUACUUUAAAUGCA